GCAGUUAAAACCUUCAAAAAGCGAGUGGGUCAAGAGGGUGAAAGUUCUAGUAUUGGACAUAUGCCUUGUGUCAUUUUGACGGAGAAAGAGAGAAAAUGAGGAAAAUGAAGAGUUAAUUGAACCGCUCUACUUAUUUUUCUUCGACAGACC
ensembl:ncRNA F16F9.7 ncRNA